rnacentral:rRNA from 1 species
GACGAACGCUGGCGGCGUGCUUAACACAUGCAAGUCGAACGGAAAGGCCCUGCUUUUGUGGGGUGCUCGAGUGGCGAACGGAUGAGUAACACGUGAGUAACCUGCCCUUGACUUUGGGAUAACUUCAGGAAACUGGGGCUAAUACCGGCUAGGAGCUCCUGCUGCAUGGCGUGGGUUGGAAAGUUUCGGCGGUUGGGGAUGGACUCGCGGCUUAUCAGCUUGUUGGUGGGGUAGUGGCUUACCAAGGCUUUGACGGGUAGCCGGCCUGGGAGGGUGACCGGCCACAGUGGGCCUGAGAUACGGCCCAGACUCCUACGGGAGGCAGCAGUGGGGAAUAUUGCACAAUGGGCGGAAGCCUGAUGCAGCAACGCCGCGUGCGGGAUGACGGCCUUCGGGUUGUAAACCGCUUUCGCCUGUGACGAAGCGUGAGUGACGGUAAUGGGUAAAGAAGCACCGGCUAACUACGUG